GAUGAACGCUGGCGGCGUGCCUAAUACAUGCAAGUCGAGCGAACAGACGAGGAGCUUGCUCCUCUGACGUUAGCGGCGGACGGGUGAGUAACACGUGGAUAACCUACCUAUAAGACUGGGAUAACUUCGGGAAACCGGAGCUAAUACCGGAUAAUAUAUUGAACCGCAUGGUUCAAUAGUGAAAGACGGUUUUGCUGUCACUUAUAGAUGGAUCCGCGCCGCAUUAGCUAGUUGGUAAGGUAACGGCUUACCAAGGCAACGAUGCGUAGCCGACCUGAGAGGAUGAUCGGCCAAACUGGAACUGAGACACGGUCCAGACUCGUAUGGGAGGCAGGAGUAGGGAAUCUUCCGCAAUGGGCGGAAGCCUGACGGAGCAACGCCGCGUGAGUGAUGAAGGUAUUCGGAUAGUAAAACUCUGUUAUUAGGGAAGAACAAAUGUGUAAGUAACUAUGCACGUCUUGACGGUACCUAAUCAGAAGGCCACGGCUAACUACGAG
rnacentral:rRNA from 1 species